UGGGGAAUAUUGCACAAUGGAGGGAACUCUGAUGCAGCGACGCCGCGUGAACGAAGAAGGCUUUCGAGUCGUAAAGUUCUUUUAUAUGGGAAGAUAAUGACGGUACCAUAAGAAAAAGCCCCGGCUAACUACGUGCCAGCAGCCGCGGUAAUACGUAGGGGGCUAGCGUUGUCCGGAAUCACUGGGCGUAAAGGGUUCGCAGGCGGAAAUGCAAGUCAGGUGUAAAAGGCAGUAGCUUAACUACUGUAAGCAUUUGAGACUGCAUAUCUUGAGAGGAGUAGAGGUAAGUGGAAUUUUUAGUGUAGCGGUGAGAUACGUAGAUAUUAAAAAGAAUACCGGUGGCGAGGGCGACUUACUGGGCUCAUUCUGACGCUGAGGAACGAAAGCGUGGGUAGCAAACAGG
rnacentral:rRNA from 1 species